GGUCCAUUAGCUCAGUUGGUUAAAGCGUCGUGCUAAUAACGCGAAGGUCGCGGGUUCGAUCCUCUCAUGAGCCA
rnacentral:tRNA from 1 species